rnacentral:rRNA from 1 species
AUUGAACGCUGGCGGCAGGCCUAACACAUGCAAGUCGAGCGGAUGAAGGGAGCUUGCUCCUGGAUUCAGCGGCGGACGGGUGAGUAAUGCCUGGAAUCUGCCUGGUAGUGGGGGAUAACGUCCGGAAACGGGCGCUAAUACCGCAUACGUCCUGAGGGAGAAAGUGGGGGAUCUUCGGACCUCACGCUAUCAGAUGAGCCUAGGUCGGAUUAGCUAGUUGGUGGGGUAAAGGCCUACCAAGGCGACGAUCCGUAACUGGUCUGAGAGGAUGAUCAGUCACACUGGAACUGAGACACGGUCCAGACUCCUACGGGAGGCAGCAGUGGGGAAUAUUGGACAAUGGGCGAAAGCCUGAUCCAGCCAUGCCGCGUGUGUGAAGAAGGUCUUCGGAUUGUAAAGCACUUUAAGUUGGGAGGAAGGGCAGUAAGUUAAUACCUUGCUGUUUUGACGUUACCAACAGAAUAAGCACCGGCUAACUUCGU